AUUUAUUUAUUUUUUAUGGUGGGAAAAGAGGGGAAAUUCUGAUUUGUAUUGUGAAUGGGUGGGGGGAGAUCUGGGAUUACGCCUUCCGUGUCUAUCUUGAAGGACUUGCAAUGGGUUGCACUUGGGGGAAAUCUGCCUAACUAAAAAGACAAUAUCUGGGCCUACAGUUUCAACCUCCUUGAACUAUAUUGUGUGCUCCCUGAUGAAUAACCUGCAGAAGGGUUUUUGUCUGUAGGGGAAGGCAUGUGGCAGUGCAGUUGUAGCCAGGGACGAGUGAGGGCCUUGCUUCUAGCUCAGGAUCCAUCAGAGACAGCGUCCCCAGCCUGCUGCUGGCGGUGAGCUCUGCCUUUGGGCCCGCUGUGAGCAGCCGCCUGGCAUGUAAGGUGUGUCAGAAUGGUGCGCGGUGAAUGGGAACUUUGGGAAGUGGUUAGUUAACGAAUUAAAUAAUUGCACCUUGCCCUUCUCCCUUCAUGUAAGCGUAACGAAUGCACAGUUCAGGUAAUAAGCAGAAACCAAGA
rnacentral:lncRNA from 1 species